CAGCCGCCGCGGUAAUACGUAGGUCCCGAGCGUUAUCCGGAUUUAUUGGGCGUAAAGGGCUCGCAGGCGGUUUCUUAAGUCCGAUGUGAAAGCCCCCGGCUCAACCGGGGAGGGUCAUUGGAAGCUGGGAAACUUGAGUGCAGAAGAGGAGAGUGGAAUUCCACGUGUAGCGGUGAAAUGCGUAGAGAUGUGGAGGAACACCAGUGGCGAAGGCGACUCUCUGGUCUGUAACUGACGCUGAGGAGCGAAAGCGUGGGGAGCGAACAGGAUUAGAUACCCCAGUAGUCCCUGUCUCUUAUAC
rnacentral:rRNA from 1 species